AUUGAACGCUGGCGGCAGGCCUAACACAUGCAAGUCGAGCGAGCGGCGGACGGGUGAGUAAUGUAUGGGGAUCUGCCCGCUAGAGGGGGAUAACUACUGUAAACGGUGGCUAAUACCGCCUACUAUCGGAUGAACCCAUAUGGGAUUAGCUAGUUGGUGGGGUAAUGGCUCACCUAGGCGACGAUCCCUAGCUGGUCUGAGAGGAUGACAAGGCACACUGGAACGGAGACAAGGUCCAGACUCCUACGGGAGGCAGCAGUGGGGAAUAUUGCACAAUGGGCGCAAGCCUGAUGCAGCCAUGCCGCGUGUGUGAAGAAGGCCUUCGGGUUGUAAAGCACUUUCAGCGAGGAGGCGUUACUCGCAGAAGAAGCACCGGCUAACUCCGUGCCAGCAGCCGCGGUAAUAC
rnacentral:rRNA from 1 species